rnacentral:lncRNA from 1 species
AUUUGUCCCUGUAACAACUUUGAGUCACUAUUGCAUCAACAAAUAUCAAUUACUACCAAUUCUCAAGGUUAUUUUCUCCCAAGUCCUUGGAGAGAAAACCUUUAAUCAUUCUACCCUAAUUUCUAUGUCCAUAGGAAAUUGUCGGUGAAAUUAAGCCUUAUUAUAUCAAGAAUGCUCUGAUUCAUACAGGGUAUCCUUUGUCCUAGGUGAUAUCUACUGCAUAGUAAUCUUAAGAAAACCUUA